rnacentral:rRNA from 1 species
CUGGCGGCGUGCCUACACAUGCAAGUCGCAACGAGAAGCUAACUUCUGAUUCCUUCGGGAUGAUGAGGUUGGCAGAAAGUGGCGAACGGGUGAGUAACGCGUGGGUAAUCUACCUUGUAAGUGGGGGAUAACCCUCCGAAAGGAGGGCUAAUACCGCAUAAGGUCUUCACUUCUUAAGAAGUAAAGAUUAAAGAUGGCCUCUAUACUAUGCUAUCGCUUCGGGAGGGGCCUGCGUCCCAUCAGCUAGUUGGUAGGGUAAUGGCCUACCAAGGCGAAGACGGGUAGGGGACCUGAGAGGGUGACCCCCCACAAUGGAACUGAAACACGGUCCAUACACCUACGGGUGGCAGCAGUAGGGAAUAUUGCACAAUGGGCGAAAGCCUGAUGCAGCAACGCCGCGUGCGCGAAGAAGGCCUUCGGGUUGUAAAGCGCUUUUCGGGGAGAAGAGAAAGGACGGUAUCCCCGGAAUAAGGAUCGGCUAACUACGUGCCAGCAGCCGCGGUAAAACGUAGGAUCCGAGCGUUAUCCGAAUUCACUGGGCGUAAAGCGCGUGUAGGCGGUUCGGUAAGUUGGAUGUGAAAGCUCCCGGCUCAACUGGGAGAGGACGUUCAAAACUGUUGGACUAGAGGGCGGAAGAGGGAGGUGGAAUUCCCGGUGUAGUGGUGAAAUGCGUAGAUAUCGGGAGGAACACCAGUGGCGAAAGGCGGCCUCCUGGGCCGCACCUGACGCUCA